GAUGAACGCUGGCGGCGUGCCUAACACAUGCAAGUCGAACGAAGUGCUAUUAAUGAAACUUCGGUGGAUUUAAAAGUAUCUUAGUGGCGGACGGGUGAGUAACGCGUGGGUAACCUGCCUUAUACAGGGGGAUAACAGUCAGAAAUGACUGCUAAUACCGCAUAAGCGCACAGAGCUGCAUGGCUCAGUGUGAAAAGCCGAGACGGUAUAAGAUGGACCCGCGUCUGAUUAGCUGGUUGGUAAGGUAACGGCUUACCAAGGCGACGAUCAGUAGCCGGCCUGAGAGGGUGACCGGCCACAUUGGGACUGAGACACGGCCCAAACUCCUACGGGAGGCAGCAGUGGGGAAUAUUGCACAAUGGGCGAAAGCCUGAUGCAGCAACGCCGCGUGAAGGAUGAAGUAUUUCGGUAUGUAAACUUCUAUCAGCAGGGAAGAUAACGACGGUACCUGACUAAGAAGCCCCGGCUAACUACGUGCCAGCAGCCGCGGUAAUACGUAGGGGGCAAGCGUUAUCCGGAUUUACUGGGUGUAAAGGGAGCGCAGGCGGCAGCGCAAGUCAGAAGUGAAAGCCCGGGGCUUAACUCCGGGACUGCUUUUGAAACUGUGCGGCUAGAUUUCAGGAGAGGUAAGCGGAAUUCCUAGUGUAGCGGUGAAAUGCGUAGAUAUUAGGAGGAACACCAGUGGCGAAGGCGGCUUACUGGACUGAUAAUGACGCUGAGGCUCGAAAGCGUGGGGAGCAAACAGAAGUAGAUACCCUGGUAUUCCCCGCCCCUAAACGAGGAAUAAUAGGUGUCGGGGUCCAAAAGGAAUUCGGUGCCGCAGCAAACGCAAUAAGUAUUCCACCUGGGGAGGACGUUCGCAAGAAUGAAACUCAAAGGAAUUGACGGGGACCCGCACAAGCGGUGGAGCAUGUGGUUUAUUUCGAAGCAACGCGAAGAACCUUACCAAGUCUUGACAUCCCUCUGACCGGUGAGUAACGUCACCUAUCAAUACGGGACAGAGGAGACAGGUGGUGCAUGGUUGUCGUCAGCUCGUGUCGUGAGAUGUUGGGUUAAGUCCCGCAACGAGCGCAACCCCUAUUGUCAGUAGCCAGCAGGUAAAGCUGGGCACUCUGAUGAGACUGCCGGGGAUAACCCGGAGGAAGGCGGGGAGGACGUCAAAUCAUCAUGCCCCCUAUGAUUUGGGCUACACACGUGCUACAAUGGUGGUAACAAAGUGAAGCGAGCCAGUGAUGGGGAGCCAAGCACAGAAAAGCCAUCCCAGUUAAGAUUGUAGUCUGCAACUCGACUACAUGAAGCUGGAAUCGCUAGUAAUCGCGAAUCAGAAUGUCGCGGU
rnacentral:rRNA from 1 species